GACGAACGCUGGCGGCGUGCCUAAUACAUGCAAGUCGAACGAGAGCGACCGGUGCUUGCACUGGCCAAUCUGGUGGCGAACGGGUGAGUAACACGUGGGUAACCUGCCCAUCAGAGGGGGAUAACAUUCGGAAACGGAUGCUAAAACCGCAUAGGUCUUCGAACCGCAUGGUUUGAAGAGGAAAAGAGGCGCAAGCUUCUGCUGAUGGAUGGACCCGCGGUGCAUUAGCUAGUUGGUGAGGUAACGGCUCACCAAGGCCGUGAUGCAUAGCCGACCUGAGAGGGUGAUCGGCCACAUUGGGACUGAGACACGGCCCAAACUCCUACGGGAGGCAGCAGUAGGGAAUCUUCCGCAAUGGACGCAAGUCUGACGGAGCAACGCCGCGUGAGUGAAGAAGGUUUUCGGAUCGUAAAACUCUGUUGUUAGAGAAGAACAAGUGCUAGAGUAACUGUUAGCGCCUUGACGGUAUCUAACCAGAAAGCCACGGCUAACUACGUG
rnacentral:rRNA from 1 species